rnacentral:rRNA from 1 species
GGCUUAUUGAAUAUUAUUUUAGGUCUUGCCUGCCCACUGAGGGGAUUGAAUGGCCGCGGUAUUUUGACCGUGCUAAGGUAGCAUAAUCAUUAGUUUUUUAAUUGAAAGCUGGAAUGAAGGGUUUGAUGAAGGAGUGACUGUCUCUGGUUGAAUUAUUUAGAAUUUUAUUUUUAAGUUAAAAAGCUUAGAUUUUCAUAAAAGACGAGAAGACCCUAUAGAGUUUUAUAGAUAAAUGUAGGCCUUAAGUUUAGGUUUGUUAGAUUAAGUUUUACUUACUAUUUAUUUGAUUGGGGUGAUAGGAAAAUUUGGUAAACUUUUCUUUAUGGGAAUAUUGAUUUGUAGAUUUAUGAUCCUAUGAUUAGAUUAUAAGAUUGAAUUACCUUAGGGAUAACAGCGUAAUUUUUUUUAGAGUUCUUAUCGAAAAAAUAGAUUGCGACCUCGAUGUUGGAUUAAAAUUGAUUAUUGGUGAAGAAGCUAAUAAGUUAGGUCUGUUCGACCUUUAUAAUUUUACAUGAUCUGAGUUUAAACCGGUGUGAG